rnacentral:rRNA from 1 species
AGCAGCCGCGGUAAUUCCAGCUCCAAUAGCGUAUAUUAGUGUUGUUGUGGUUAAAAAGCUCGUAGUUGAAUUUCGGGAUUGGGAUAUAUCGAUCGUGCCUUUAGGGGCAUGAAACGGUGUGUAGCCAAUUUCUCACCUUCUGGUGAGUCGGGAUGCUCUUGGGUGUUUCGAUGAAUCAGGACCUUUACUUUGAAAAAUUAG